rnacentral:rRNA from 1 species
UUUUACUGCCGUACCAUCCAGAACGCGCCGGAUCUCGUCUGAUCUCGGAAGCUCAGCAGGGUCAGGCCUGAUUAGUGCUUGGAUGGGAGAAGUAGAGU